GACAGAGGGUGCAAACGUUGUUCGGAAUUACUGGGCGUAAAGCGAGUGUAGGCGGUCUUCUAAGUCGGGUGUGAAAGCCCCGGGCUCAACCCGGGAAGUGCACUCGAAACUGGGAGGCUAGAGUAUCGGAGAGGUUGGUGGAAUUCUCGGUGUAGAGGUGAAAUUCGUAGAUAUCGAGAGGAACACCGGUGGCGAAGGCGGCCAACUGGACGAAUACUGACGCUGAGACUCGAAAGCGUGGGGAGCAAACAGG
rnacentral:rRNA from 1 species